rnacentral:rRNA from 1 species
UACGUAGGGCGCAAGCGUUGUCCGGAAUUAUUGGGCGUAAAGAGCUCGUAGGCGGUCUGUUGCGUCCGCUGUGAAAAACUCGGGGCUUAACCCCCGAGCCUGCAGUGGAUACGGGCAGACUAGAGGUAGGUAGGGGAGAAUGGAAUUCCCGGUGUAGCGGUGAAAAUGCGCAGAUAUCGGGAGGAACACCGGUGGCGAAGGCGGUUCUCUGGGCCUUACCUGACGCUGAGGAGCGAAAGCGUGGGGGAGCGAACAGG